rnacentral:rRNA from 1 species
CCAGACUCCUACGGGAGGCAGCAGUGAGGAAUAUUGGUCAAUGGGCGAGAGCCUGAACCAGCCAAGUCGCGUGAGGGACGACGGCCCUACGGGUUGUAAACCUCUUUUGCCGGGGGACAAACGGCGGCACGCGUGCCGUCCUGAGGGUACCCGGAGAAAAAGCAUCGGCUAACUCCGUGCCAGCAGCCGCGGUAAUACGGAGGAUGCGAGCGUUAUCCGGAUUUAUUGGGUUUAAAGGGUGCGUAGGCGGGAUGCCAAGUCAGCGGUAAAAAUGCGGUGCUCAACGCCGUCGAGCCGUUGAAACUGGCGUUCUUGAGUGGGCGAGAAGUAUGCGGAAUGCGUGGUGUAGCGGUGAAAUGCAUAGAUAUCACGCAGAACUCCGAUUGCGAAGGCAGCGUACCGGCGCCCGACUGACGCUGAGGCACGAAAGCGUGGGUAUCGAACAGGAUUAGAUACCCCCGUA